GACGAACGCUGGCGGCGUGCUUAACACAUGCAAGUCGAACGGAAAGGCCCUGCUUUUGUGGGGUGCUCGAGUGGCGAACGAGUGAGUAACACGUGAGUAACCUGCCCUUGACUUUGGGAUAACUUCAGGAAACUGGGGCUAAUACCGGAUAGGAGCUCCUGCUGCAUGGUGGGGGUUGGAAAGUUUCGGCGGUUGGGGAUGGACUCGCGGCUUAUCAGCUUGUUGGUGGGGUAGUGGCUUACCAAGGCUUUGACGGGUAGCCGGCCUGAGAGGGUGACCGGCCACAUUGGGACUGAGAUACGGCCCAGACUCCUACGGGAGGCAGCAGUGGGGAAUAUUGCACAAUGGGCGGAAGCCUGAUGCAGCAACGCCGCGUGCGGGAUGACGGCCUUCGGGUUGUAAACCGCUUUCGCCUGUGACGAAGCGUGAGUGACGGUAAUGGGUAAAGAAGCACCGGCUAACUACGUGCCAGCAGCCGCGGUGAUACGUAGGGUGCGAGCGUUGUCCGGAUUUAUUGGGCGUAAGGGCUCGUAGGUGGUUGAUCGCGUCGGAAGUGUAAUCUUGGGGCUUAACCCUGAGCGUGCUUUCGAUACGGGUUGACUUGAGGAAGGUAGGGGAGAAUGGAAUUCCUGGUGGAGCGGUGGAAUGCGCAGAUAUCAGGAGGAGCACCAGUGGCGAAGGCGGUUCUCUGGGCCUUUCCUGACGCUGAGGAGCGAAAGCGUGGGGAGCGAACAGGCUUAGAUACCCUGGUAGUCCACGCUGUAAACGGUGGGUACUAGGUGUGGGGUCCAUUCCACGGGUUCCGUGCCGUAGCUAACGCUUUAAGUACCCCGCCUGGGGAGUACGGCCGCAAGGCUAAAACUCAAAGGAAUUGACGGGGCCCCGCACAAGCGGCGGAGCAUGCGGAUUAAUUCGAUGCAACGCGUAGAACCUUACCUGGGUUUGACAUGGAUCGGGAGCGCUCAGAGAUGGGUGUGCCUCCUUUGGGGUCGGUUCACAGGUGGUGCAUGGCUGUCGUCAGCUCGUGUCGUGAGAUGUUGGGUUAAGUCCCGCAACGAGCGCAACCCUUGUUCACUGUUGCCAGCACGUUAUGGUGGGGACUCAGUGGAGACCGCCGGGGUCAACUCGGAGGAAGGUGGGGAUGACGUCAAGUCAUCAUGCCCCUUAUGUCCAGGGCUUCACGCAUGCUACAAUGGCUGGUACAGAGAGUGGCGAGCCUGUGAGGGUGAGCGAAUCUCGGAAAGCCGGUCUCAGUUCGGAUUGGGGUCUGCAGCUCGACCUCAUGAAGUCGGAGUCGCUAGUAAUCGCAGAUCAGCAACGCUGCGGUGAAUACGUUCCCGGGGCU
rnacentral:rRNA from 1 species